rnacentral:rRNA from 1 species
CCUACGGGCGGCAGCAGUAGGGAAUCUUCCACAAUGGGCGAAAGCCUGAUGGAGCAACGCCGCGUGGGUGAAGAAGGUCUUCGGAUCGUAAAACCCUGUUGUUAGAGAAGAAAGUGCGUGAGAGUAACUGUUCACGUUUCGACGGUAUCUAACCAGAAAGCCACGGCUAACUACGUGCCAGCAGCCGCGGGAAUACGUAGGUGGCAAGCGUUAUUCGGAGUUAUUGGGCGUAAAGGGAACGCAGGCGGUUUUUUAAGGCUGAUGUGAAAGCCUUCGGCUUAACCGGAGUAGUGCAUUGGAAACUGGGAGACUAGAGUGCAGGAGAGGGGAGUGGAACUCCAUGUGUAGCGGUGAAAUGCGUAGAUAUAUGGAAGAACACCAGUGGCGAAGGCGGCUCUCUGGUCUGUAACUGACGCUGAGGUUCGAAAGCGUGGGUAGCAAACAGGAUUAGAUACCCCAGUAGUC